rnacentral:rRNA from 1 species
CCUACGGGAGGCAGCAGUGAGGAAUAUUGGUCAAUGGCCGCAGGGCUGAACCAGCCAAGUCGCGUGAGGGAUGACGGUCCUAUGGAUUGUAAACCUCUUUUGUCAGGGAGCAAAGGGCGCCACGUGUGGCGCUUUGCGAGUACCUGAAGAAAAAGCAUCGGCUAACUCCGUGCCAGCAGCCGCGGUAAUACGGAGGAUGCGAGCGUUAUCCGGAUUUAUUGGGUUUAAAGGGUGCGCAGGCGGAAUGUCAAGUCAGCGGUAAAAUUUCGGGGCUCAACCCCGUCGUGCCGUUGAAACUGGCGUUCUUGAGUGAGCGAGAGGUAUGCGGAAUGCGUGGAGUAGCGGUGAAAUGCAUAGAUAUCACGCAGAACUCCGAUUGCGAAGGCAGCAUACCGGCGCUCAACUGACGCUCAUGCACGAGAGCGUGGGUAUCGAACAGGAUUAGAUACCCGAGUAGUC